rnacentral:rRNA from 1 species
GGCGUCAUAGAGGGUGAGAAUCCCGUCUGUGACCGGUGACCGAUCCCAUGCGAAACCCCUUCGACGAGUCGAGUUGUUUGGGAAUGCAGCUCAAAAUGGGUGGUAAAUUUCAUCUAAAGCUAAAUACUGGCUGGAGACCGAUAGCGCACAAGUAGAGUGAUCGAAAGAUGAAAAGCACUUUGGAAAGAGAGUCAAAAAGUACGUGAAAUUGUUGAAAGGGAAGCGCUUGCAACCAGACCUGUCCGUGGGUGAUCAGCCGCCGUUCUCGGUGGUGCACUCGCCUACGAUCAGGCCAGCAUCGGUUCGGGCGGCCGGACAAAGGCCUUGGGAAUGUAGCUCCUCUCGGGGAGUCUUAUAGCCCUCGGUGCAAUGUGGCCAGCCCGGACCGAGGACCGCGCUUCGGCUAGGAUGCUGGCGUAAUGGUUGUAAGCGACCCGUCUUGAAACACGGACCAAGGAGUCUAACAUCUAUGCGAGUGUUUGGGUGUUAAACCCAUACGCGGAAUGAAAGUGAACGGAGGUGAGAACCCUUUAGGGCGCAUCAUCGACCGAUCCAGAUGUCUUCGGAUGGAUUUGAGUAUGAGCAUAGCUGUUGGGACCCGAAAGAUGGUGAACUAUGCCUGAAUAGGGUGAAGCCAGAGGAAACUCUGGUGGAGGCUCGCAGCGGU